AGCGAACGCUGGCGGCAGGCCUAAUACAUGCAAGUCGAGCGGGUGUAGCAAUACACCAGCGGCAGACGGGAGAGUAACACGUGGGAACGUGCCCUUCAGUUCGGAACAACCCAGGGAAACUUGGGCUAAUACCGGAUACGUCCGUAAGGAGAAAGAUUUAUCGCUGAAGGAUCGGCCCGCGUCUGAUUAGCUUGUUGGUGAGGUAAUGGCUCACCAAGGCGACGAUCAGUAGCUGGUCUGAGAGGAUGAUCAGCCUCACUGGGACUGGGACACGGCCCAUACUCCUACGGGAGGCAGCAGUAGGGAAUAUUGGACAAUGGGCGCAAGCCUGAUCCAGCCAUGCCGCGUGGGUGAUGAGGGCCCUAGGGUUGUAAAGCCCUUUCGGCGGGGAAGAUAAUGACGGUACCCGCAGAAGAAGCCCCGGCUAACUUCGUGCCAGCCGCCGCCGUAAAAC
rnacentral:rRNA from 1 species